GAUGAACGCUGGCGGCGUGCCUAAUACAUGCAAGUCGAGCGAACGGACGAGAAGCUUGCUUCUCUGAUGUUAGCGGCUGACGGGUGAGUAACACGUGGAUAACCUACCUAUAAGACUGGGAUAACUUCGGGAAACCGGAGCUAAUACCGGCUGAUAUUUUGAACGGCAUGGUUCAAAAGUGAAAGACGGUCUUGCUGUCACUUAUAGAUGGAGCCGCGCUGCAUUAGCUAGUUGGUAAGGUAACGGCUUACCAAGGCAACGAUGCAUAGCCGACCUGAGGGGGUGAUCGGCCACACUGGAACUGAGACACGGUCCAGACUCCUACGGGAGGCAGCAGUAGGGAAUCUUCCGCAAUGGGCGAAAGCCUGAUCGAGCAACGCCGCGUGAGUGAUGAAGGUCUUCGGAUCGUAAAACUCUUUUAUUAGGGAAGAACAUAUGUGUAAGUAAAUGUGCACAUCUUGACGGUACCUAAUCAGAAAGCCACGGCUAACUACGUG
rnacentral:rRNA from 1 species